rnacentral:rRNA from 1 species
CAAGCGUUGUUCGGAUUCAUUGGGCGUAAAGGGUGCGUAGGCGGCGCGGUAAGUCGGGUGUGAAAUCUCGGAGCUUAACUCCGAAACUGCAUUCGAUACUGCCGUGCUUGAGGACUGGAGAGGAGACUGGAAUUUACGGUGUAGCGGUGAAAUGCGUAGAUAUCGUAAGGAAGACCAGUGGCGAAGGCGGGUCUCUGGACAGUUCCUGACGCUGAGGCACGAAGGUCAGGGGAGCAAACGGG